rnacentral:misc_RNA from 1 species
GAAGAAACAGAUCUUAACAAAACUUACUCGGAUGUUGCAAAUGCAGAAAACAACAUGCAAAUAGGCUAUCCCAUGAGAAGCAAUGCAUAAACUUCUACACAUACAGUAUACCCAAUUCUCCGGUUUAAAUAUCUGGUUACAUUGCCAAUCCAGCAGUGUACCGGACCCCUGUGGAAGGCAACCACAGGUUGCCAUCGAUGAACUGCGACACUGUGAAAUUGACAACCUGAGAGGGGUUGUUGAUGGUGUGGUAUCCAGGCCAUUUCACUCGUCCAGCAAGCCCCGAUCCCGGCCCAGAGUUCAUGUACUCGGCAUAGAACAGUGUGCUGAGGGCGAAAUCCCCCUGCCACUCCAGCCAACCCUCUGGCCGGAGCAAAGGGCCCAGAUAACUCUGCAUUACAACCGUG